rnacentral:rRNA from 1 species
UACAGAGGGUGCGAGCGUUGUCCGGAAUCACUGGGCGUAAAGGGCGCGUAGGCGGCUUGAUAAGCGUGCGGUGAAAGCCCGGGCUCAGCCCCGGGUCGGCCGUGCGAACUGUCGAGCUGGAGCACUGUAGAGGCAGGUGGAAUUCCGGGUGUAGCGGUGGAAUGCGUAGAGAUCCGGAAGAACACCGGUGGCGAAGGCGGCAUCCUGGACCGGCAUUGACGCUGAGGAGCGGAAGCCAGG